GUAGGUGGCAAGCGUUGUCCGGAAUUAUUGGGGCGUAAAGCGCGCGCAGGCGGUUCUUUAAGUCUGAUGUGAAAGCCCAGGGCUCAACCGUGAGGGUCAUUGGAAACUGGAGAACUUGAGUACAGAAGAGGAAAGCGGAAUUCCACGUGCAGCGGUGAAAUGCGUAGAGAUGUGGAGGAACACCAGUGGCGAAGGCGGCUUUCUGGUCUGUAACUGACGCUGAGGCGCGAAAGCGUGGGGAGCAAACAGGAUUAGAUACCCUGGUAGUCCACGCCGUAAACGAUGAGUGCUAAGUGUUAGGGGGUUUCCGCCCCUUAGUGCUGCAGCUAACGCAUUAAGCACUCCGCCUGGGGAGUACGGCCGCAAAGGCUG
rnacentral:rRNA from 1 species